rnacentral:rRNA from 1 species
GAGAAAAGCAGGGGAUCGCAAGACCUUGCGCUUUUGGAGCGGCCGAUGUCUGAUUAGCUAGUUGGUGAGGUAAAGGCUUACCAAGGCGUCGAUCAGUAGCUGGUCUGAGAGGACGACCAGCCACACUGGGACUGAGACACGGCCCAGACUCCUACGGGAGGCAGCAGUGGGGAAUUUUGGACAAUGGGGGAAACCCUGAUCCAGCCAUGCCGCGUGAGUGAAGAAGGCCUUCGGGUUGUAAAGCUCUUUCAGCCGGAACGAAACGGUUACGGUUAAUACCCGUGACUACUGACGGUACCGGAAGAAGAAGCACCGGCUAA